UGCUGAGAGGCUGAAGACAGAGGUCCCGCUGAGGUCUUAUCUGGUGACAGGAGCUUGGACACAUCAGCAAUAAAGCCCCACAGCCUUGUGACCAGUGUGGACUGACUGUUCUCCUUUCUACAACAGCUAAUAUUCAGCAAAUCUCCAAGGCUGAGAGAGAGAAUGAGAGAGAGAGAGAGAACUCACCUGAAGUCACAAAGCUGGUGAAUACGGGAGUCAAGAUUUAAAUCCAGAUUUUAGGGUCAAGGAUCCAGGCAGCCUGGCUCAACUCAAGGCAAUGGCAGCGGGCACGCCCCACAAGGCC